AGAGUUUGAUCAUGGCUCAGGAUGAACGCUAGCGGCAGGCUUAACACAUGCAAGUCGAGGGGUAUUUAUCUUCGGAUAGAGAGACCGGCGCACGGGUGCGUAACGCGUAUGCAAUCUACCUUUUACAGAGGGAUAGCCCAGAGAAAUUUGGAUUAAUACCUCAUAGUAUAAUGACUCGGCAUCGAGAUAUUAUUAAAGUCACAACGGUAAAAGAUGAGCAUGCGUCCCAUUAGCUAGUUGGUAAGGUAACGGCUUACCAAGGCUACGAUGGGUAGGGGUCCUGAGAGGGAGAUCCCCCACACUGGUACUGAGACACGGACCAGACUCCUACGGGAGGCAGCAGUGAGGAAUAUUGGACAAUGGGCGCAAGCCUGAUCCAGCCAUGCCGCGUGCAGGAUGACGGUCCUAUGGAUUGUAAACUGCUUUUAUACGAGAAGAAACACUCCUUCGUGAAGGAGCUUGACGGUAUCGUAAGAAUAAGGAUCGGCUAACUCCGUGCCAGCAGCCGCGGUAAUACGGAGGAUCCAAGCGUUAUCCGGAAUCAUUGGGUUUAAAGGGUCCGUAGGCGGUUUAAUAAGUCAGUGGUGAAAGCCCAUCGCUCAACGGUGGAACGGCCAUUGAUACUGUUAAACUUGAAUUAUUAGGAAGUAACUAGAAUAUGUAGUGUAGCGGUGAAAUGCUUAGAGAUUACAUGGAAUACCAAUUGCGAAGGCAGGUUACUACUAAUGGAUUGACGCUGAUGGACGAAAGCGUGGGUAGCGAACAGGAUUAGAUACCCUAGUAGUCC
rnacentral:rRNA from 1 species